ACUUCAUGGACCCAGGGCACACACGGCUCACUAAAAUGGCCGUGCCAACAGUUAACCCAGGUUACGUCCAUCCUGUAACUGAGGGUCAAGCUGGCGAAUGUGUCGUGCAGGAGGACAAGAAAAGAUUCAUCGUGACGGCGAGCUGUGUUGCCGAAGGAAACCUACCAGGCUACGUUGCUCCCGUGAGCGAGCUAGAUCCUGCAGACUCCCAAAUGGACAUCUCUGGCAGCAGUUCGACUGGAGCUGAGUUUUGUGCUGUUCAUGAUGAUGCGUCCGAGGUCUCCCCAAGUUGCAGCAGCUUUCUUGCGUCCGAGGUCUCCCCAAGUACCAGCAGCUUUCUUGCCUCUGAGGUCUCCCCAAGUGCCAGCAGCUUCCUUGCGUCUGAGGUCUCCCCAAGCAUGUCCCCAAGUGCCAGCAGCUUUCUUGAUUCAGCCUCAAGCUCAGUAGGAGGCUUCCCUGUUGCUUGCAACAGUGCAGCAAAGGGCUCUCCAUCGAAGAAAUUUAGGAGGACCAUCCGACGACUGCAGUCUAAGGUAGCAAGCUGCCAGCGGACUAUCUCACGGUUGCGGAAGAACCAGCGCAAGCUACCACCGUCCAUUUCAAAGGCACUAGGCAUUAUCCAACCGCAUGUGACAGAGGAGGUUUAUAAACUGCUGUGUACACACAUGCGGUUGCAGCAGAGGGGCAAAGGCAAGCGCUUCCCUGUUUGGCUUAAGAAAUUUGCAUUACAUUUAAACUUUCGGGGACCACGAGCAUACCGUUUUUUGGCACCAAUUUUCUCUCUACCUACACAACGGUCACUGAGACGUUGGUUGAGCAACAUUAGAAUGUCACCAGGUGUAAUUCCUGGAAUAAUACAGUGUGUUUCAGCUAGCACUCGGGAUUGGAAUGCGCGCGAUCGAGUGUGCACCCUGAUUUUUGACGAAAUAAUCUUAAAAAAGAACUUGUCUUAUGAUGCGGGUCAGGAUGUUGUCCAUGGAUUUGUAGAUGAUGGCAUGGAACGGUCAUCGACUAUUGCUGACAGGGCACUGGUUGUGCUUCUCGCUGGUGUUUCCAAGAGGUGGGUGCAACCAGUCGCAUUUACAGUAGGACACACACUGACAUCAGCAAGCAUUAUGGCUAAAUUACUCAACUCAAUUAUUAUGCAACUGAAAGCCGUCCAAAUUAUUGUGAAAGCAGUAGUUUGUGAUCAAGGUACAUCUAAUGUAAGCCUAGCUCAGCAGUUGGGCAUUACUGUUGAAAAACCGUUUUUUGAGGUUCUGGGUGAGCGAGUCUAUUUCAU